CCUACGGGUGGCAGCAGUGAGGAAUAUUGGUCAAUGGGCGGAAGCCUGAACCAGCCAAGUAGCGUGCAGGAUGACGGCCCUACGGGUUGUAAACUGCUUUUAUACGGGAAUAACGCGCCUUACGUGUAGGGCUUUGCAUGUACAGUAUGAAUAAGGACCGGCUAAUUCCGUGCCAGCAGCCGCGGUAAUACGGAAGGUCCGGGCGUUAUCCGGAUUUAUUGGGUUGAAAGGGAGCGUAGGCCGCAUGUCAAGCGUGCUGUGAAAGUUACGGGCUCAACCCGGGCCGUGCAGCGCGAACUGGCGUGCUUGAGUCCGCGGAAAGCAGGCGGAAUGCGUCGUGUAGCGGUGAAAUGCUUAGAUAUGACGAAGAACCCCGAUUGCGAAGGCAGCUUUCUGCAGCGGAACUGACGCUGAUGCUCGAAAGCGCGGGUAUCGAACAGGAUUAGAUACCCGAGUAGUC
rnacentral:rRNA from 1 species